AAUCAUAUCUGGAUCACUUGAAAAGGGGGGUCUGGGUUCACUUGUUUUUUGUGCAGCUUAUAGAAAAACAGGAAACAGUCUUAUUUGUAAUUAAACCAGCUAAAUUAGCCAGUAUCUCAGAGAAUUAUGGGUAGGUUUGUUCACCUUUCACGACCACCACAGCAGCAUGAAGAAUCAUGUUAGGCAGACUGUAAAUAGUAACUUCUGCACAAAGAGACUUGACCUUUUCUACUUUAUUAGGAUAGCUGCUAGCUUUGUCUCACUCUGACAUCAGGUGUAGUCGUACUAGUUGAAGCACCUCCACUAUGAAUGAAGGUUUGACUCAUGAUGCUGCUCUUACUGUAACUGUGGUUCUUGAUGUGCUCUAUUUUACAGUGAUUCAGGGUCAGGCUGGCUGGAGAGUGACUUACUCCUCUACUGAAGUCUGUGCCUUAAGAGGAUCAACUGUAGGUGCACCUACAGCUACCCAUCUACUACUACAGUUCAGAAGUCCUUCUGGUUUACUAAAGUCCAGGAUGGAGAACCUGUAGAUCUGCAAACAGACUCACAGUACACAGGUCGUGUGACCUACAGCUCUACCUGGAAGGACUCCACUCUGACAAUCACAAAUGUGGGAAAUAGUGACUCAGCUGUUUACAAGUUCAGGUUCAUAACAAACCAUCAAGGUGGAAGUUAUACUGGUGAUCCCGGAGUCACUUUGUCCCUCACAGAUCUUCAGGUGAAGGUGGGCACAUCUAGAUAUUCUUCUUCUUCUUGGGCAGAUCUGACGUGUGUCAGCAGUUGUACUCUCCCUCCUCAUUCCUCCUACAUUUGGUUCAAGAAUGGAGAGAAAAUCCCCAGAAAAACAUCCUCGACUUACUCAGCCUACUUUAAUAAUGCAGACAGCUAUUCCUGUGCUUUACAGGAACACCAGGAUUUCCCCUCUCCUCCAGUGUGUGUUCGUGGUGAAACCUGUAACAGAGUGAAGUACGAUGUCAG